rnacentral:rRNA from 1 species
CGCGGCCUAUCAGCUUGUUGGUAGGGUAACGGCCUACCAAGGCGAAGACGGGUAGCUGGUCUGAGAGGAUGAUCAGCCACACUGGCACUGAAACACGGGCCAGACUCCUACGGGAGGCAGCAGUGGGGAAUAUUGGACAAUGGGCGCAAGCCUGAUCCAGCCACGCCGCGUGAGUGAUGAAGGCCUUCGGGUUGUAAAGCUCUGUGGGGAGGGACGAAAACGGUCGAGAACAAUACCUCGGCCCUUGACGGUACCUCCUUAGCAAGCACCGGCUAACUCUGUGCCAGCAGCCGCGGUAAGACAGAGGGUGCAAACGUUGCUCGGAAUUACUGGGCGUAAAGCGCGUGUAGGCGGACUCGCAAGUCGGGUGUGAAAUCCCUGGGCUCAACCUAGGAACUGCAUUCGAAACUGCGUGUCUUGAGGGCCGGAGAGGGAAGCGGAAUUCCUGGUGUAGAGGUGAAAUUCGUAGGUAUCAGGAGGAACACCGGUGGCGAAGGCGGCUUCCUGGACGGUUACUGACGCUGAGACGCGAAAGCGUGGGGAGCAAACAGGAUUAGAUACCCUGGUAGUCCACGCCGUAAACGAUGGGUGCUAGGUGUCGCGGGUUUUGACCCCUGCGGUGCCGUAGCUAACGCGUUAAGCACCCCGCCUGGGGAGUACGG